GAUGAACGCUGGCGGCGUGCCUAAUACAUGCAAGUCGAGCGAACAGACGAGGAGCUUGCUCCUUUGACGUUAGCGGCGGACGGGUGAGUAACACGUAGGUAACCUACCUAUAAGACUGGGAUAACUUCGGGAAACCGGAGCUAAUACCGGAUAAUAUUUCGAACCGCAUGGUUCGAUAGUGAAAGAUGGCUUUGCUAUCACUUAUAGAUGGACCUGCGCCGUAUUAGCUAGUUGGUAAGGUAACGGCUUACCAAGGCAACGAUACGUAGCCGACCUGAGAGGAUGAUCAGCCACACUGGAACUGAGACACGGUCCAGACUCCUACGGGAGGCAGCAGUGGGGAAUAUUCCGCAAUGGGCGAAAGCCUGACGGAGCAACGCCGCGUGAGUGAUGAAGGUCUUCGGAUCGUAAAGCUCUGUUAUUGGGGAAGAACAAACGUGGAAGUAACUGUGCACGUCUUGACGGUACCUAAUCAGAAAGCAACGGCUAACUACGUG
rnacentral:rRNA from 1 species